CCCCUUUUUAUAUAGGUUGAACACCCCAUUCUAAAAAUACAGAAUCUGAAAUACUCCCAAAUCCAAAACUUUUUGAACACUGACAUGACGCUGAAACAAAAUACUCACUGGAGCUUUUCGGAUUUCAGGUUUUUGGAUUAGAGAUGCUCAACUGGUAAGUAUAAUGAAAUAUUCAGAAAUCUGAAACACUUCUGGUCCCAAGCACUUUGGCUAAGACAUACUCAACCUGUAAAAACUGUACCUAAGACCUAGCAAUGGGUCUAAUAAUCACAGUUUUGAGAAAAUGAUAAGAGUAAACAAUAUAUGAGGACUUCUCCAACUGUAAUGAAAAUAUCUGAUUUCUAUUGGUAACAAAAUCACAGGUGCUGUAUUAUUACUGUUUUAUUGACUAUAUCAUAAAGGAAAUGAUAAACUUCAGUUAGAAGUUAGUGAAAACACAGGUAUAUUUUUUCCUGUCUCAGACCACAGAUCCCCACUAAAGGACCCCUGCACUAUAGCCUAGUUUUAACAGAGCCAGCAGGCUGAUCCUUCCAAAAGGUGAGUUGGGUCAUGUCAUUCCUUCGUUCCAUGUCUUGAGCAAGGUUCCCAUUUCCCUCAGCAUAAACGCCAGAGAAACCCCUCACCAAGGCUGCCUGGGCCCAUGGCUCCGGCCCCGUCCCUUGCUCCUCCUGAUUUGCCUGACACAGGCACACCCCCACCCUUGGCACUGGCCAUCUACUUAGCACGCUCUUCUCACAGAAAGCUGAAUAGUUAAUUCUCUUAUUUUUUCAAGUCUUAGCUCAAAUAGCCCCUUUUUAAUGUGGCCAAAUAAAGGUGCAGCCCACCCUGCCCACAACCGGAAGCUCGGGGCUCAGGUGCAGCCCACCCCGCCCACAACCAGGAGCUCAGGGCUCAGCCCUGCUUCUCUGCUUUCUAGGGCACUGGCUGCCCCUUUGCAGGCCCGUCUACGCCACCGCUUCCUGGUUCUGCUUCCUGCUUCCUGUCCAUUUCCCCUGCUAGAAUGUGGUUCUGCUUCCUGCCUCCUGUCUCUUCCCCCUCUAGGCUGCAGAUCCGACAAGGGUUGGCGUCUCUCACUGAUACCCAUUCUCUUCACAGAGUCUGGCAUAGAAUAGGCGCUCAACGUAUUUUUUUACUGUUUUCAACAAACGGAAUGAACUGACAAGAAACUUUACUGUGGGACAUGAACGGAAACAAGUCCUCAGGGAGGGGUGAUGGUGAAGAGGACUCUGAGUUACACAUCCUUCUAGCGGGUGGCAGGGUGUGUGCCAGGUGUCCACAGGUCAAGCCCAAAUCAAAAGCCUUGGGCUCUCAAGUCUCAAGCUCCUCUUAGAAACUGCUCGGGGUUAAAGAAUCCUUAUAGAAAGAAAACUUAGAUCAGAUGUGCUACAGCUAUUCUGGGUAUGCUAAAGAUUAAUAAAUAAAUAAAUAAAUGGCAAGAGCGUUCUUUCAACACCUGGGCUGUGAUCUCUGAUGGAAGUCUGCAGUGUGUGAACCAAGGAAAAUUCCACAGACAGAAAUGAGCAUUUUAUGGCAACUCUAUCAGGUAUUAAAUAUAAACUCUAAACCAAGAAACAAACAUUAAGCUGGUAAAAAGGUCAUAGCUUGAAAGGGCUGACUGACUCAAAACAUAAACAUUUCCCUUUUGGUUUCAACUUCUUCAGUUAACUGCUCUGUUCUAAGGGUUUCUCUGCCAUCCAGAAUGAAUGGUGCUCUCCCAGGCGUCUGGGUUUAGGGACGCGUGUGCACAGCACCGAGCAGCGUGAGCCGGUGCUCUCCCAGGCAUCUGGGAUUAGGGACGCGUGUGCACAGCACCGAGCAGCGUGAGCCUGUGUUCUCCCAGGCGUCUGGGUUUAGGGACGCGUGUGCACAGCACCGAGCAGCGUGAGCCUGUGUUCUCCCGGGCGUCUGGGUUUAGGGACGCGUGUGCACAGCACCGAGCAGCGUGAGCCUGUGUUCUCCCAGGCGUCUGGGUUUAGGGACGCGUGUGCACAGCACAGAGCAGCCCUGAGCUCGUGCUCUCCCAGGCGUCUGGGUUUAGGGACGCGUGUGCAAAGCACAAAGUGGCAUUCCCCGCUUGCUCUACACGGAAACAGGCACUUCCUCCUCUUCUCUAGGGGGUUACCGAAACCCCUGUGCCAAGCACUCAGACUUCUAUUUCUUACCAAGCAGGCGCUCCUCCUUCCUCUCCAUGUUCCCAUCUGGCUAGUCCAGAUUUUCGGUUCACAUUCGAACGCCUCAAAAGAUGAUCUCACUGUCUCUCCUGCCUCACCACUCAUCCGUAACCAAACCACUCCAAUCAGCCUCCGCUCCUCCAAUCUCCUGGAAUUGUUCUCAACAAGGUGAGCAGUGACCAAGGUUCAGGCCCAGUGGGUACUUACCGGUCUUUUCUUGCAUACCGCUCUGCUGCACGUGGUCAUCCCCGCAUGCCAGCGCUCUCUGCUCUACCAUUCCUCUAACGCCCCGCUGCCCGCCUCCCCCCCACCCCCGUGUUCCUCGACACUAUGAUCUCUGUGUUCACUGUCUUUCUGCUGGUCCUUCAAUGAAGGUGUUAUUCCCCUUGGCUUACUGUCCUUAUCACACUAUAUGUGUAUCUCUCAACUGAACCUCAUUCUUAUCUAUUUACAAAGACAUAUGUCUUAUGCUUCCCAAAUCUUCAAUGCCAAACUCUCUUACAAGCUUCACACUUCCAGAUCUGUCUGGAAACAGAUCUCAUACACAGUCCUCACAAAGCUGACUUCAUCACCUCCUCCCCUUGUCUGUUAACCUACCUUAGAGACCCGAACUAGAGAAAUAGUAACCACACUAGGGCCUCCUCCUUGUAUCUCAUGCUGUAAUAAUGAUGAGGGCCUAGCAAUUUCACUUCCUGAACAUGACCUGCCAUCUCUCUCUUCAUCUCCACCUCCAGUUCUGCUGUCCCAGGUAAUUCAUUACAGCUCCCCGUGUAUCUGGGCAAGGCUCCUCACUGAAUUCUCUGGCCUUUUUAGGGCCACCCAUCUGUGGCUCCCAAACACCCCAGGGAAUUUCUAUGCUCUCUCUUCACAAACAGUCCCGCUCCUUCCCUUGUUCUUACCUCUGACUCAUUAAAUCCUACCCACCCUUUAUCGAUCUAGUCCAGAAGUCACUUCCUCCUUGGAGUCUCUGAGACAUCUUCUAUGCCCAGACGGGGACCAUCCCUCGUCCCUGCAUCCCGCCGUGCCCUGUGCGUCUCCUAUGCAGUUCUCGCCCGCUGUACUUACUUUCUUAGGACUCUGAGCUCUCUGAAGGACCUCCUUGCCAUAUCUUCUCUGUACCCCUCCUCACAAGUCUGGCACAUCACAGGAAUUCAAAUUUCUACUGAAUAAAUGAGUUUGCUGAUUAAAUAUCAGAACAUGAUAUACUGAUUCUUUAUCAACUGGGGCUGCUCAAUUAAUGAAUGAGUGGAAGUGUCUUUAUAGGGAAAUAUGCUGAUUCCAUUUUAGAACACAAUGCUUAUUUGCAAGGACACAAUUAUUAACUUACUGUGUAAUAGGCCAAGAUUCUUACUCAACAUACGUCCUUUGUAGGCAAAAGCAAACCACAAUAAGCCUACCCUGACCUGAGACGCUUGUUGUUAAGAACAACAGAUAACCUGAGAACUGUGUUUUGCCAACAGUCAGUUUCCACCCUGAAGGAAUGGACUUCACAAGGCCUUUGCUUUGUGAGGCCCUGUUGCCUAUGUGCUGUGUGAUUACAAACAUUCCACAGUCGGUUAUUUAGAAAGAUACUGAAAUUGCGGAACUCUGUGCUGACACACUGAUUACAGCAACAACCACAGAUUGGACCUACUUCAUAUGAACACUUUAACCACCAGCUUAGGGACCAUCCCUGAGUUACAGCAGAGGGAGCCCUGAACUGGAAGCCCCAGCUCUCUCACCACCUGGCCAAGGGGCUGAAAGCAGGUGAUGCCACUUCUGUGGGUUGUGGUGAUCUCAUCUGUGCAAUGAAGAACUGGAUUUGGUUCAGCUCAGUCACCAACAGCUGACAACUACUGAACCAAGUGCAAAUGUGGAAGUCCUAUCCUCAAGAAAUUAAAGUAUAAUGGAAAUAAAGACAGAUGGCACCAAACUAUCAUCUACUGAUGUGCUCUGACGGCCCUUCACGGGUAAAGCUGCUAUGACAUGCUGCAACAAGGACAGGUGAAUACUCCUUAGGAAUGUAAAGUGACAUCACCCGUUCAUCUAACAGAUGCCAUCCUGGGUCAGACACCCGACCAACAAUGCCCUAUUCAUGGCACUAACACUGAGUGAAGGGAAGAAGAAAGGUGAUUAUUUCCCAUACUGAAAACUGAAAAGUUUGCUCUUGAAAAUAACCUGGCCUAAAUGACAAGACGUGUUCAUUCUUAGAAGUCAGGGUGUGCUCUGAACGAGUGUUACGUGUGGGUAAGUUUUUCAGUGAAAGAAAGCCUCAACGAGUCAAUAAUAAACAUUAAACAAUUCUGUUCCAAGCAGGAACUUGCAAACUCCUGGUGCAAGAGCAUCAAGAAGCAAUGAGAUCUCGUCUCGGGCAGAGUAAAUGGCUGAAAUGGAACUUGCUGGGUCCACACCAGUUCACCCUGUUCUUCCUAAAUACACCGACUUCUGUCAGGUUCAUUCAAGCUAAAAGUCAACCAAACUUUCCAUGCUCCCAUUUCACAAUUUACGUAUAAUUUACCUCUUUUAUUUCUCUACCUCAAAGAAUUACACAUAUGAUCAAAUCCAAAAUGGGCAAAACAACCAAUGGAGGAUUUGAGGGGCGAGGAGCCAGUAGGACACAACCUGAGACGUGCUCUUGCCAAGUCAGAGAACUUACUGCGCGGAGUGGUGUCAGGACCAGAGGGGAAGUUUAACCCAAGAUGCUUUUUAUAGACAUUCAGUUUCCUCAACAAGGCUUUCUUUUGCUGCUACUCUAAGCAGAAGUGAGGGUAAAAAAUCCAGGUAGAACUGAGGAAUGAUCUGGCAUGCCAGCAGCACCGUGUAAACAAUCCAGGUAGAACUGAGGAAUGAUCUGGCAUGCCAGCAGCACCAUGUUGGUGCUGGGGGCUCUGGGAUGCUGGGUUUGCAUAUUCUGUGAUUUGGUACCUGGGCAUUUAUAUCCGGCAUCAACAAGAACACCUAUGCUCUUUUCCUGUGCUUCUGGAGGUCUGGGAGACAGAAGAUACUAUUUUAAAAGUGUGUUCAUUGCAAAAUUCUUAUUUCCCAGAUAAUAUACUGUAAAAGUGCUUCUCAGGCCUGUUUGCCUUGUGCUUUUACUUUUCUAAUUAUAACGUAAGCUUUAUAAAGUAAAUUACACCUCUUCUCGGCAAAUUUCUGUUAGGAGGUCCAUACCAAAAACACUGUGCGGUAACCUUGGGACUUGUGAAAAGCUUGGUAACAAAGACCAAUUUUCAAAUUACUAAUCAAACAGAAAAAACAACUAAUUUAAGCUAACUGGAGUUACAUUGGGAGACAGAACAUUUUCACAGCCUGCAGGAGUAAAAUCUGAGGAUCUGAGGUUAUCUUUUCAGCAACAGAGAAAGUCACCUGGUGACUCUCCUUCCCUAAGGAACUCUGGAAUUUAGGGAACAUUCUGGGAGCCCAAGUCAGCGUGACAGAGGGUUGGCCCCAGGUCUAAGGCUCACAUCACCACUUCAAUAUGAUUGAAAGGUAUGGCCUUUGGCUUGUCCAACCCAAUGAAUAAAAUUCGUAAAUAAAAGUAGCCUGUAUUUUGGAAAUAGGGUUUAAGGUGCUCUGGAAUAAAAGACAAGGAAAGCUGAGCUCUUCCUGCUGAGGCCAUAGAGUCCAGGGUCCCAGGGCAUCUGAUGGGAACCAGGAAACUGGAAAAACCAGUUCUUAAAGUUCCUAAAACCUGACAGUAAAUAUUGAACAGUAAACAGCUCAACUGUUUUUGUGUUUAUAUGCUAAGGAAGGUUCAUUUACUAGGGUUUAUUGGCAGUUAUGUAAAAUGAUACUUGUAUGAACAAAACUGCUAUUUUAAGUUUCAGAUAUUGCUUCAUCAGGGUGCUUGUCCUACAAGUUGGCGGAAAUCUAAACAGAGGGAAAACAUUAUGAAUACAUUGUUAUUUAUUAGUAAACAAAACAGCAAAAAUAAACUGAUUUUCUUUGGUCCAAAAGGCCUAGUUUGAUUUUAUAACUAAAAUUCUUUCUCUUCACUAGAAGUCUUCCGAUUGUAGUUGGGCACAGUCUUACAGAACGUAAGCGAGCGCCAGUGCAGCUUCUACUCAUGUCCAGCUACUCCUCAGCCUCCUUUAGCAGGGGCAGGAGGAGCCAAAACCUCCCAUGUUGGUAAAGAUGCUCCAUGAGGGCAGAACCCACCAACCCAGCAGCACUGCAGUUAACACCUGCACUCAUCUGAGAUUCCCAUGCUGUAUCUGACAGCUGUCUAAAAGCCCACACAGUAUUUACCUAAGGAAACAGCAUGGCUCUGAGUUACAACUGUCAGUUCAUAAAAUUAGACUAUCUUCUAAGAACGCGCUCACAUUCAAAGAAUCACAGAGCCGGAUGAGACAGGAGCACAGCCAGGCAAG
rnacentral:lncRNA from 1 species